GUGCUUGCUUUGACAGCACAUAUACUAGAAUUGGAACGAUACAGAGAUAAGCAUGGCCCCUGCACAAGGAUGACACACAAAUUCAUGAAGAGAAAGUCAUAUAA